GACGAACGCUGGCGGCGUGCUUAACACAUGCAAGUCGAACGGAAAGGCCCCGCUCGGGGGGUACUCUCGAGGGGAAAGGGUGAGUAACACAUGUGUAACAUGCCCUUGAGUUUUGGGUAACAUCAGGAGAAACGGGGGAAAACCGGAGAGAAGCUCCUGCGCCGCGGGGGGGGGGGUAGAGAGUCGGGGGUUGGGGGUGGAGUCUCGGCUUAUCUGCGUGUUUGUGGGGUAGUGGCUUACCAAGGCUUUGACGGGUGGCCGGCCUGAGAGGGGGACCCGCCACAUUGGGACCUAGAUACGGCCCAGACUCCUACGGGGGGCAGCAGUGGGGAAUAUUGCCCAAUGGGUGGGAGCCUGAUGCAGCAACGCCGUGUGCGGGAUGACGGCCUUCGGGUUGUAAACCGCUUUCGCCCAUGACGAAGCUUUGUGUGACGGUAGUGGGUAAAGAAGCACCGGCUAACUACGUG
rnacentral:rRNA from 1 species